rnacentral:rRNA from 2 species
UUUAUGGAGAGUUUGAUCCUGGCUCAGGACGAACGCUGGCGGCGUGCCUAAUACAUGCAAGUCGAGCGGAUCGAUGGGAGCUUGCUCCCUGAGAUCAGCGGCGGACGGGUGAGUAACACGUGGGUAACCUGCCUGUAAGACUGGGAUAACUCCGGGAAACCGGGGCUAAUACCGGAUAACACCUACCCCCGCAUGGGGGGAGGUUGAAAGGUGGCUUCGGCUAUCACUUACAGAUGGACCCGCGGCGCAUUAGCUAGUUGGUGAGGUAACGGCUCACCAAGGCGACGAUGCGUAGCCGACCUGAGAGGGUGAUCGGCCACACUGGGACUGAGACACGGCCCAGACUCCUACGGGAGGCAGCAGUAGGGAAUCUUCCGCAAUGGACGAAAGUCUGACGGAGCAACGCCGCGUGAGUGAAGAAGGUUUUCGGAUCGUAAAACUCUGUUGUUAGGGAAGAACAAG